AGGGGUGUAGUUGAAUGGCACAACUACGGUCUCCAAAACCGUCGAUGGGGGUUCGAUUCCCUCCGCCCCUGCCA
rnacentral:tRNA from 1 species